rnacentral:rRNA from 1 species
GAUGAACGCUGGCGGCGUGCUUAACACAUGCAAGUCGAGCGAGUGAGUUCUUCGGAACGAUCUAGCGGCGGACGGGUGAGUAACACGUGGGCAACCUGCCUCAUAGAGGGGAAUAGCCUCCCGAAAGGGAGAUUAAUACCGCAUAAAAUUAUCGAGUGGCAUCACAUGAUAAUCAAAGGAGUAAUCCGCUAUGAGAUGGGCCCGCGGCGCAUUAGCUAGUUGGUGAGGUAACGGCUCACCAAGGCGACGAUGCGUAGCCGACCUGAGAGGGUGAUCGGCCACAUUGGGACUGAGACACGGCCCAGACUCCUACGGGAGGCAGCAGUGGGGAAUAUUGCACAAUGGGGGAAACCCUGAUGCAGCAACGCCGCGUGAGUGAUGAAGGUCUUCGGAUUGUAAAGCUCUGUCUUUGGGGACGAUAAUGACGGUACCCAAGGAGGAAGCCACGGCUAACUACGUGCCAGCCGCCGCAGUAAUAC